GGGGGGAACCCUGAUCCAGCCAUGCCGCGUGUGUGAAGAAGGCCUUAUGGUUGUAAAGCACUUUAAGCGAGGAGGAGGCUCUUUUGGUUAAUACCCAAGAUGAGUGGACGUUACUCGCAGAAUAAGCACCGGCUAACUCUGUGCCAGCAGCCGCGGUAAUACAGAGGGUGCAAGCGUUAAUCGGAUUUACUGGGCGUAAAGCGCGCGUAGGCGGCCAAUUAAGUCAAAUGUGAAAUCCCCGAGCUUAACUUGGGAAUUGCAUUCGAUACUGGUUGGCUAGAGUGUGGGAGAGGAUGGUAGAAUUCCAGGUGUAGCGGUGAAAUGCGUAGAGAUCUGGAGGAAUACCGAUGGCGAAGGCAGCCAUCUGGCCUAACACUGACGCUGAGGUGCGAAAGCAUGGGGAGCAAACAGGAUUAGAUACCCUGGUAGUCCAUGCCGUAAACGAUGUCUACUAGCCGUUGGGGCCUUUGAGGCUUUAGUGGCGCAGCUAACGCGAUAAGUAGACCGCCUGGGGAGUACGGUCGCAAGACUAAAACUCAAAUGAAUUGACGGGGGCCCGCACAAGCGGUGGAGCAUGUGGUUUAAUUCGAUGCAACGCGAAGAACCUUACCUGGCCUUGACAUAGUAGAAACU
rnacentral:rRNA from 1 species